GGGAAAGAACAAUGAAAAUCCAUUUAAUCCUGAGCCGUCACAGGGGCUGGAAAUAAAACAUCCUUGCUGUUGUUCAGUGGACUUCCUCUCACAGUUUUCUAGUGGAAUGCUGUUAUCCCACCAAGGACUAUCAGAGUGAGAAUCAGCUGUUCAUGUCCGUUUGGAGCACCUGCGAGAUUUUUGUUGACGUGGAGAAUUGUGCUCUGCUGGAAGAAUGCACAGAGUCACCCAGAGAUUUAAGGUGAAUGAUGGUGAGCUAGCAACAUUUUCUGAAACAUGCAGGCCAGCAAUAUCUGCCAACAUCUGUUGUGAGAGAGGGGGUGGGAGAGGAAGAGAGAAGGUUUUAUACAUAGGUGUAUACCUAUGUUAACAUAUAUAUAUGUUGUUAUAGGUGUGUAGGAACACACCUAUAACAACAUAUAUCAGACUACUUAAAUGAUAGCACACAGUGUGCUUUAGACAGUCAAGCCAAUAUUUAAUGGAAAUGUAAGUGAACAUAAUUUGAAGUAUUGUUAUUUUCUAACAUCAUCUCUUUGGUCAUUAUGCAUUGGACAUCCACACUGAGGUAUGUUGCUUAGCCAAAUUCCUCACCUGUCACUGUCAUAUUUUCUGAAAAAUUCCUUUGCCAGGAUUUCUUCUCCUGGGAAGAUGAGAAACCUCAGAGAAAAAACAAUAUUAUCUCAUUUGCUUCUCCCUGUUUCACUGCUUUAGAAUGUAGCUGGAGAUUGUUUACCAACAGGUGCAUGUUUGAUUAGUUUCAGGUAAAUUGUUUUUACUUAAUGACCAAUCACCAUCAGCUGUGUCGGACUCUGAGAAGUCAGUCACGAGUUUUUCAUUAUCGUUCUUGUUAAGCCUUCUGUCUGUAUCCUUUCUCUAUUCUUUAGUAUAGUUUUAGUAUAGUAUUCUUUUAUAUAAGAUAAUAGGAUAAAAUAAUAAAUUAGCCUUCUCAAAACAUGGAGUCAAAUUCACUCAUUUCUCACCUCGUCCUGGGGACCCCUGCAAAUACCACACUCACUUACUUUCAUUAUUAUGCAUACAGCUUUACUGACAGUAGAGAGAGGAGAUUAUCAGAUUUUUAUGAAAAUCAUGCUCAAAGAAAUUAUAGUUUUCCUCCAUAAUUUGUCAAUAUGAACUUCAUGCAGUUAUCUUGAUCAAGAAAUGGUAUGAAAGCUUAUACCCUUAGUCUUUCCUAACCUGCAAAACACGUGAAUAAAGCAGACAUAAGAAUAUUGUGCACCUGAAUAUAAAAUAAAUAUUUGCAGGUCAUUUACAUUGACAGAAUCUUUGGAUAAAAUAAAAAGGAGGCAGAUGCUUGGCUUAUGGAGCUAAGAGUGUUACCUUCACCCUUAUGCCUCCAUGGUAUAAGGGCUCGUGAUGGGCCAAGUGCACACAGACAGGUCGGUGGGUCCACAGGCGUUCUGUUCACUCCUUCAGCUGCACCUGCAGAAUGAAGCCUGGGCCAAAUUCUGAAACACGUGAAAGACUAGGAAAAUAUAAUAAGUUCCUUUUUUCUUUUAAUUUGGCAUUAUCAAUGCUCUUGGGUAGAGAUGACAGAGGCAUUAAUUAUCUGUAUACAGCUGCACUCCAAGCAAUUUUAUUUCUUUAAUAUGUCUAGGACAAUGGUUCACAUUGUUAUCAUUGGAGUUAGCUAGAGAAGCAGCACAAUAAAGUUAUAUUCCUUCAGGGUAUUUUUGCCGACAACAUUUUGUUACAAACAUAUUUUGAUGGAGUUAGGAAAUGUGAACUGGAUAUAUUUUCUGUUGGAAAAUCUGAUUGAAACUGAAGUGCUUUUAGAAAUAUGCUAUUUUUUAUUAGUACAAUGUUGAUAUGUACAACACUGAUAUGUACAAUAUUAAAAGCAAAA